UCCUGGCUGACUCAAUAGGUAGAGCAUGUGACUCUUGAUCUUGGGGUUGUGAGUUCAAGCCUCACGUUGGGUG
rnacentral:tRNA from 1 species